CAUUUGUUGGUGUAGUCGGAAAAAUUUAAGUUUGUGAUUCCCGAGGUCGUGGGUUCGAACCCCAUCCGGGUAA